AUGGCAAUAGACCACGCGUCCCCUCUCGCGCUCAAGAGCGGCGGCGCCACGGGAGGAGCGGGGUGCGAGGACGAGGAGGCGGAGAACCAGCGGUGGCCGCCGUGGCUGAAGCCGCUGCUGGCGACGAGCUUCUUCGUGCAAUGCCGGGCGCACGCCGACGCGCACAAGAGCGAGUGCAACAUGUACUGCCUCGACUGCGUCAACGGCGCGCUCUGCUCGCUCUGCCUCGCCCACCACCGCGACCACCACGCCAUCCAGAUUCGGAGGUCGUCGUACCACGACGUGAUCCGGGCGUCGGAGAUACAGAGGGUGCUGGACAUCACCGGCGUGCAGACGUACAUCAUCAACAGCGCGCGCGUGGUGUUCCUCAACGAGCGCCCGCAGCCGAGGCCGGGCAAGGGGGUCACCAACACCUGCGAGGUCUGCGAGCGCAGCCUCCUCGACUCCUUCCGCUUCUGCUCCCUCGGAUGCAAAGUAUGCAUAUGUCCUCCUUACAAUCCAAGCUUCGGCCAUGGCCUGGCGCAUUGCAAGCUGGUAACCAGCACGGCAUCUUCUGCCCCACAGAUUGUAGGCACGUCCGGCGGCCACCGGCCGAGGAAGAAGCACGGCGGCAAGAAGAAGAAGAGAGCGGCGGUCAAGGAUGCGCGGUCGGACUCGGAGCACUCGUGCACGAGCACAAGCGGCGGCAGCAGCGACAAGAGCAGCGUGGUGCAGAGCUUCUCGCCGUCGACCCCGCCGGCCACCUCCAGCAGCUACCGCGCCGGCAACAAGCGCCGCAAGGGCAUCCCGCACCGGUCGCCGUUCGGCAGCCUCAUCGUGGAGUACUAA
rnacentral:rRNA from 1 species